rnacentral:misc_RNA from 1 species
AAGUCGUAACAAGGUUUCCGUAGGUGAACCUGCGGAAGGAUCAUUCACAAACGAGUGUUUUAUGGCACUUUUUAAAAUCCAUAUCCACCUUGUGUGCAAUGUUGAAAAUUACCUUUCGAGGUGGUUUUUUUUCUUAAUAUCAACCAAUCUUAAUUAAUUUGUCUUAAUACCUUGAAUUUACUUAAUUCAAAAUACAACUUUCAACAACGGAUCUCUUGGCUCUC